CCUACGGGCGGCAGCAGUAGGGAAUCUUCCACAAUGGGCGAAAGCCUGAUGGAGCAACGCCGCGUGGGUGAAGAAGGUCUUCGGAUCGUAAAACACUGUUGUUAGAGAAGAAAGUGCGUGAGAGUAACUGUUCACGUUUCGACGGUAUCUAACCAGAAAGCCACGGCUAACUACGUGCCAGCAGCCGCGGUAAUACGUAGGUGGCAAGCGUUAUCCGGAUUGAUUGGGCGUAAAGGGAACGCAGGCGGUCUUUUAAGUCUGAUGUGAAGGCCUUCGGCUUAACCGGAGUAGUGCAUUGGAAGCUGGGAGCCUUGGGUGCAGAAGCGGAGAGUGGAACUCCAUGUGUAGCGGUGAAAUGCGUAGAUAUAUGGAAGAACCCCAGUGGCGAAAGCGGCUCUCUGGUCUGUAACUGACGCUGAGGUUCGAAAGCGUGGGUAGCAAACAGGAUUAGAUACCCUUGUAGUC
rnacentral:rRNA from 1 species